AUUCCUUGCAAUUCAAGUGGGCUAGAAUCUUGAUCCAGUUUUCUCCAGACUAGAUUUCAAGCUACUCUGCAUGGUGUAGAACCUGUAACCAUGUAACCUCAUCAGCUUCCUUUUUUCCUUUUGACUUUUCCUGUUACACACAGUUCAGUCUGACUAUUCAUGAAUCUUCUUUGGGAGAAAGAAAAAUGGCCCAAUGUAUAAUGUUUCUGAAUGGGGAAGGGAGAAAAAAAAAAGUCACUGUUGUUUGUAGCUCUAACCAUGAAAGUAAAAGCAACAAAAAUAUCCCCCAAUGAAUCCCUAGAAUCAUUUAAUAAUAUAACCGGUUUCUCUUUAUCCUGCAGGUGUACACUUAAAGCAUUCUGGGAAUAUGAAUCCCUUCUGCACCCGGGAUUCACCAGUCCAGCCAUGCAUGGAGCUGGGGAAAGCAGGCCCUGAACUGUCUAGAGAGACUUGGUGGAGGAGGCCACGGCCCGUCUUGUCCCUGCCGGGUCCUGGCCAGGAACAACUGGAUGUUGUAAAUGUUUCUCAUCUGGCCUUAAAAUCCAUGAAAGCUGGAAAAUGCCAAGGCAUCUGUGCACAUACUGGUGGAUUUUAAUGAGAGUCCUGUGUUUGGAGCACCAGAAAUAAACCAGCUUCAGAAGCAAAGUUAACAGGAGGAGGAAGCAGAGCUAGAGCUGGAAGGAGACCCAGCCAGCCCGGGCUCCAGUGACAUCAGCCGGUACACGCUCUUGUUUGCUUACGCUUGUUGAACUGAGUUUUUCAUAUGUAACUAACCAAUACUGGCACAUGUAAG
rnacentral:sRNA from 1 species